rnacentral:rRNA from 1 species
CAUGAAGCUGGAUUCGCUAGUAAUCGCGCAUCAGCCACGGCGCGGUGAAUACGUUCCCGGGCCUUGUACACACCGCCCGUCAAGCCAUGGAAGCCGGGAGUGCCUGAAGUGCGUGACCGCAAGGAACGCCCUAGGGUAAAACCGGUGACUGGGGCUAAGUCGUAACAAGGUACC